GGAUCAAUGAUGAAAGCCAAAUGUCACGAAGAGAGGUGAUGACAUCAAAAUAAUCAUCUAGGUGUACACUGAGGUCC